rnacentral:pre_miRNA from 11 species
AACCGUAGGGAAAAAUCCAUCUUCCCAUGUGGUCGGGUUAAGUGGACCGCAUGGGAUAAUCGAUUAUCCCGUGCGGUC